GACGAGGUGGACAAACGUUAUUCGGAUUUACUGGGCUUAAAGCGUGCGUAGGCGGCUCAGACAGUUGGGUGUGAAAGCCCUCGGCUCAACCGAGGAAUUGCGCUCAAAACUACUGAGCUUGAGGGAGAUAGGGGAGAGCGGAACUGAUGGUGGAGCGGUGAAAUGCGUUGAUAUCAUCAGGAACACCGGUGGCGAAGGCGGCUCUCUGGAUCUCUUCUGACGCUGAGUCACGAAAGCUAGGGGAGCAAACGGG
rnacentral:rRNA from 1 species